UAGGGAAUCUUCCGCAAUGGGCGAAAGCCUGACGGAGCAACGCCGCGUGAGUGAUGAAGGUCUUCGGAUCGUAAAACUCUGUUAUUAGGGAAGAACAAAUGUGUAAGUAACUAUGCACGUCUUGACGGUACCUAAUCAGAAAGCCACGGCUAACUACGUGCCAGCAGCCGCGGUAAUACGUAGGUGGCAAGCGUUAUCCGGAAUUAUUGGGCGUAAAGCGCGCGUAGGCGGUUUUUUAAGUCUGAUGUGAAAGCCCACGGCUCAACCGUGGAGGGUCAUUGGAAACUGGAAAACUUGAGUGCAGAAGAGGAAAGUGGAAUUCCAUGUGUAGCGGUGAAAUGCGCAGAGAUAUGGAGGAACACCGGUGGCGAAAGCGGCUCUCUGGUCUGUAACUGACGCGGAGGCUCGAAAGCGUGGGGAGCGAACAGG
rnacentral:rRNA from 1 species